CCUAUGGACGGGAAUAACCUCGGGAAACUGAGUAUAAUGCCCGAUAGAACAUUAUGCCUGGAAUGGUUUAUGUUCCAAAUGAUUUAUCGCCGCAGGAUGGGACUGCGGCCUAUCAGUUUGUUGGUGAGGUAAUGGCCCACCAAGACUAUUACAGGUACGGGCUCUGAGAGGAGUAGCCCGGAGAUGGGUACUGAGACACGGACCCAGGCCCUAUGGGGCGCAGCAGGCGAGAAAACUUUGCAAUGUGCGAAAGCACGACAAGGUUAAUCCGAGUGGUUUCUGCUAAAGGAACCUUUUGUCGGUCCUAGAAACACCGAUGAAUAAGGGGUGGGCAAGUUCUGGUGUCAGCCGCCGCGGUAAAACCAGCACCUCAAGUGGUCAGGAUGAUUAUUGGGCCUAAAGCAUCCGUAGCCGGCUCUAUAAGUUUUCGGUUAAAUCUGUAUGCUCAACGUACAGGCUGCCGGGAAUACUGUAGAGCUAGGGAGUGGGAGAGGUAGACGGUACUCGGUAGGAAGGGGUAAAAUCCUUUGAUCUAUUGAUGACCACCUGUGGCGAAGGCGGUCUACCAGAACACGUCCGACGGUGAGGGAUGAAAGCUGGGGGAGCAAACCGGAUUAGAUACCCGGGUAGUCCCAGCUGUAAACUAUGCAAACUCAGUGAUGCAUUGGCUUGUGGCCAAUGCAGUGCUGCAGGGAAGCCGUUAAGUUUGCCGCCUGGGAAGUACGUACGCAAGUAUGAAACUUAAAGGAAUUGGC
rnacentral:rRNA from 1 species